rnacentral:rRNA from 1 species
UACAGAGGAUGCAAGCGUUAUCCGGAAUGAUUGGGCGUAAAGCGUCUGUAGGUGGCUUUUUAAGUCCGCCGUCAAAUCCCAGGGCUCAACUCUGGACAGGCGGUGGAAACUACCAAGCUGGAGUGCGGUAGGGGCAGAGGGAAUUUCCGGUGGAGCGGUGAAAUGCGUAGAUAUGCGGAGGAACACCGAUGGCGAAGGCAAUCCCCUGGACCUGUACUGACGCUCAUGCACGAAAGCGUGGGGAGCAAACAGG